rnacentral:rRNA from 1 species
UACGUAGGUGGCAAGCGUUGUCCGGAUUUACUGGGUGUAAAGGGCGUGCAGCCGGAGAGGCAAGUCAGAUGUGAAAUCCACGGGCUCAACUCGUGAACUGCAUUUGAAACUGUUUCCCUUGAGUGUCGGAGAGGUAAUCGGAAUUCCUUGUGUAGCGGUGAAAUGCGUAGAUAUAAGGAAGAACACCAGUGGCGAAGGCGGAUUACUGGACGAUAACUGACGGUGAGGCGCGAAAGCGUGGGGAGCAAACAGG